rnacentral:rRNA from 1 species
AUUGAACGCUGGCGGCAUGCCUUACACAUGCAAGUCGAACGGUAACGGGCCUUCGGGUGCCGACGAGUGGCGAACGGGUGAGUAAUACAUCGGAACGUGCCCGAUCGUGGGGGAUAACGAGGCGAAAGCUUUGCUAAUACCGCAUACGAUCUACGGAUGAAAGCAGGGGACCGCAAGGCCUUGCGCGGACGGAGCGGCCGAUGGCAGAUUAGGUAGUUGGUGGGAUAAAAGCUUACCAAGCCGACGAUCUGUAGCUGGUCUGAGAGGAUGAUCAGCCACACUGGGACUGAGACACGGCCCAGACUCCUACGGGAGGCAGCAGUGGGGAAUUUUGGACAAUGGGCGCAAGCCUGAUCCAGCCAUGCCGCGUGCAGGAUGAAGGCCUUCGGGUUGUAAACUGCUUUUGUACGGAACGAAAAGCCUUCUUUUAAUACAGGAGGGUCAUAACGGUACCGUAAGAAUAAGCACCGGCUAACUACGUG